UCUGUUGAAUGCUUUUAUUACAAGACCUGCUUAUCUAACUAUUAGCAGAUAUCUUGAAGCUAUUGUGAUAGUUGUAAUGGCUUGCUAUUUUUCAUCCUCUUGCGACAGAUGCUACUAUUAAGUUAUUAUUCUCUUUGGGCUAUUUUUUAUCCUCUUGCGAUUGAUACUGCUGUUAAAUUAAUCAAUGAGUUUCUUAAAUGUCCAAUUUUCUUGCCAUGUUUAAUUGAUCAAUGAGUUUCUUAAAUGCAGUUUAGUGCGGCUAUGUGGUCUGCUAGAGAGUGUAACAAGUUUCUGCUCGCUGGACUUUUUUUUUCAGGACGAACAAAAUUAUAGGUUUUCUGGAUUUAGUGAUUCAAAUCUAUUCGUCACUUUUUCGAUGGAAUGCUGCAGUUAUACAUCAAUGCCAAUUGACACUCCUACAUCAAUUAAGGGGUUCUAUAUACUUGGCCUUAAUUGUUA